CCUACGGGAGGCAGCAGUGGGGAAUAUUGCACAAUGGGCGAAAGCCUGAUCCAGCAAUGCCGCGUGUGUGAAGAAGGCCUUCGGGUUGUAAAGCACUUUUGUCCGGAAAGAAAUGGCUCUGGUUAAUACCUGGGGUCGAUGACGGUACCGGAAGAAUAAGGACCGGCUAACUACGUGCCAGCAGCCGCGGUAAU
rnacentral:rRNA from 1 species